UACGAAGGUCCCGAGCGUUAUCCGGAUUUAUUGGGUUUAAAGGGUGCGUAGGCGGGUUAUUAAGUCAGUGGUGAAAGCCUACAGCUUAACUGUAGAAUUGCCAUUGAUACUGAUGAUCUUGAGUAUGAUUGAGGUGGGCGGAAUGUGUCAUGUAGCGAUGAAAUGCUUAGAUAUGACACAGAACACCGAUUGCGAAGGCAGCUCACUAAGUCAUAACUGACGCUGAUGCACGAAAGCGUGGGGAGCAAACAGG
rnacentral:rRNA from 1 species